UACGUAGGGGGCUAGCGUUGUCCGGAUUUAUUGGGCGUAAAGAGCGUGUAGGCGGCCAAGUAGGUCCGGUGUGAAAACUCGAGGCUUAACCUCGAGAUGUCAUCGGAAACCAUUUGGCUAGAGUCCGGAAGAGGAAAGUGGAAUUCCUGGUGUAGCGGUGAAAUGCGCAGAUAUCAGGAGGAACACCGAUGGCGAAGGCAGCUCGCUGGGACGGUACUGA
rnacentral:rRNA from 1 species